CAUUUAAGAAUCACAGCAUUCACCAAGGAUGUCUCCAAACCUUCUCACACAGAACAAUGAAGAAAAUGGAAAGGGCCGCUGUAAGAGGUAGAGACUGGGCAAUGAGCUGUUUCCACUCACUAGAUAACUGACUCUCAGCCACAACUACUUUGCAGUUCAGUGACUGAAAUUCACGCCUCAGCAAAACUUUGCACUCUGCCUCAUAGAAUGGACUUCUGGAUCACGCUGAAGAGGCUUAGACUUGUUUACCGAUGCAUUUCCCGGGCGUACUUACUGUAUCACUUCAGCGUCUCUGCGCUCGAGCCUCAGAGAUCAAGAAACGGCUGAGAAAUGCAAUAACAAAUAAAGGCUCUUCCAUCUGGCAGGCAUAAGCAUAAACGAGAUGUGAGCCCAGAGUCUCAAUAAAGAAGGGAUCAUCAUCAAUCCACGCUCCACGCAGAGCCCCAAGACAACAGCAGAAUUGCUCUGUGCAUCCUGGUUUACGGAACCAUAGAAACUUUUGAAUCUGAAUCAACCUACAAAGAAUAAAAGAAACAGCUGAAGUCUGUCCUCCUAAAAAGAUGACUAUUGCUUAAUUCUGCUUUUCUGUCAUUUACUCCCACACCUCAGAAGCUUCUGAGAGCAGUUUUGAAGUGCUUUUUUGAACCUGCAGACCACAAACCAACGUCUGUGGCUAGGCAACACCCACUAUCCAUUAUCUGAUGAUUUGGGAAGAAGUGAAAACUUUGCCAACAUUUGGUGAUUUAUACUUUCCAAGAGGAGUUGAAAAUAGAAAAUGUAGACAUUUUCAAACCGUAGAACUUGGCAAAUUCCACUCACACUGAUCAUCUCUGAAGAUUGAAUGUGAUCCCUGCCCCUCUCCACGUGGAGAACUGUCACAGCUCCGGGGCAACGAUUUUCGCCUGAAUUCAACAGCUUUGCGAAGCUCUAGAGAAGAGAAACAAGAAAGGAACCAAAAGGACGUCCUGAACCCUGAUCUACAUUAAGCUGACUCAACGAAAUAAAUAGCAAGGCUCAACUGCUACACUUCA